CCAAUAGCGUAUAUUAAAGUUGUUGCAGUUAAAAAGCUCGUAGUUGAAUUUCGGGAUCAAUAUGUCGGUCGUGCCUUCGGUACGUACUGGUAUCAUUGGUCUCUCCUUUCUGACGAACCAUGAUGUCAUUAAUUUGGUGUUAUGGGGAGUUAGGACUGUUACUUUGAAAAAAUUAGAGUGUUUAAAGCAGGCUUUAGCUUGAAUACAUUAGCAUGGAAUAAUGAAAUAGGACGUUCGAACCUAUUUUGUUGGUUUCUAGGAUCAACGUAAUGAUUAAUAGGGAUAGUUGGGGGCAUUAGUAUUCAAUUGUCAGAGGUGAAAUUCUUGGAUUUAUUGAAGACUAACUACUGCGAAAGCAUUUGCCAAGGAUGUUUACAUUAAUCAAGAACGAAAGUUAGGGGAUCGAAGACGAUCAGAUACCGUCGUAGUCUUAACCAUAAACUAUGCCGACUAGGGAUCGGAUGAUGUUAAUUUUUUAAUGACUCAUUCGGCGCCUUACG
rnacentral:rRNA from 1 species